GCCACGUGUCCCUGCCUGGUCUUUAUUGUGCUCGGGCUCCUCGCCCGCCUCCUCGCUCCAUGAAGCGCGCCCAGAGCUCCAGCUUUGCACACACGCACGCGUGCACGAAGAGACAACCGAGCAAAGGCGCCGCUGCUUGUGGUUCCUCCUGCAAGCCGGAUUAAGGCUGCUGAUCUGAUACUCAGCAGCGCCCCACGGGACCCGCUUCUUGGUCGGCCGGGGGACAGAGGUUGGGUGGCAGCGGCGCUUCAAGCCCGGCUGCUGCUGCAAGGCGCCCGGCUAAGUCUGCUGCGGAGGCGCAGGCAGGAGCUGCUGCUGCAGGGAAUCCGGUUUCCGGCUCGCCACCGGAGGAGGAGCAGCAGCAACGCUGCCCAGCCCGGGGUAAGGAGCAGCGCGCGCAUUUUUCCGCGUUUCUCAUGUCUCGAGGGAAGGGCGAUGCGAUGGCAGCCUAAUGCAAAGCUCCCGACUCUCUCCAACCUCUCUCCCCCCCCCCCGACGCAGUAAGUCAACAGGUGCGGUUUUGCAAUCCGCUUCCCCUGUUGAACUUUUUUUCCUGCUAAAGAUUGGAGGCGGGGGGCGGUUCGUGUUGUAACGCAGAGGCGGUAAGGUGUGCUGAGGUUUAAUUCUAUUUCUGUGCCGCCCGCCCUUCAGUCUUUGAAGCCCGUUAUCAUCUCUGCCAGAGAGGUCCGAGCUGCAGUUUUUUCAAUUAGUAACAGAUACUUCUUUAUAAACUGUGCGAUUACCUGUUCCUGCUGUCAUGCCUGGAAAGCUGGGCAUCCUGUUCUAGAAUGUUUUAAUUUUGUGGUGCGUCUCCCCCUGUGCCCACGCAUUCAUACACACUAUAACACUUCAAGGGCUUGAGCAUGUAGAUUUUCUCUGUUUUCUCUGUGUUCUCCCUCUUCAGCCCCACAGUAAGACCCACAAACAUUCCAUAUAUCAAACUGUUCUCAAUUGUAGAGUUGGAAAGGACAACGAGGGUCAUCUAGUCCAACUGCUUGCAAUGCAGGAAUCUUUUGCCCAACGUGGGGCUCGAACCUACAACCCUAAGAUUAGGAGUCUCAUGCUCUACAAACUGAGCUACUGUAUACUGACUUCCAUAGUUUGCGUAGCUACUGGUUUCUUUAGACCCUCGCUUUCUUUCUCUUGUAGGCUCAGCUGUCAUCAACUUUCUGUCAGCUCGCAAGUUCCUGUUAAGCGCUUUCUGGGUUGUGGUUUUUAAAAAAAUAAAAAAUAAUUUAAAUUAACUCACAGCAACGGUAUAUACCUAGGGUUCCCCCCGGGCGUGUAGAAGCGGCUAGUUUUCUUUUAGGUGGUCCGAUGCUUCUUCCAAAUUGAUUGGCACUCAACCACCUGAGUGUGCUAUUAGAAGGAAUGAUGUUGCUUUAACUGUGGCCUGUCAUGUUUCCACAUAAAAGUAUGGUGUAUUUACAGCAAUGAAGACAGGAACUUGGUGGAGGUUUCUCAUGUACUAACUCUUAACGUGGGCUUGAAUGGGCCUUGUUCAUCACCAGAGGGGAAUGCCACAAGGUGCCACAAAAGUGGAGGGAACUGAUGCUGAGAAUAUUUAUUUUAUUAUAUUAUUGAAUUUCUAUCUUGCCCUUCCUCCUGAAGGAGCCCAGGUCUUAGUAUAAAAGCUGAUCACUUGAGCCCAGGUGACAGUUUCCGCACUCUGCCACGGAAGGGAUUUGUGGCCUUAGCCAAGUCGUUCAGUAUAUUUCCAGACUAUUGUUCUUUCACAUUUAGCUGCUACAUUGGAGGGCAACCUCUGGCUUUGGGGGCAGGGGACACAUAGCCCCUCAGUCUGCUCUUACAUGGUGACCCUUGGAAUCUGACCCUCAAGUGUCUCUCUUUCUUCAUUCUUGUAUCCUCACUGAAAGAGUGUCAGAUCUAUACUUAUAUCUAGUAUGAGAAAUUGGUACCGUGGUACCUCAGGUUGCAGACGCUUCAGGUUACAGACUCCGCUAACCCAGAAAUAGUACCUCUGGUUAAGAACUUUGCUUCAGGAUGAGAACAGAAAUUGCACAGCGGUAGUGCAGCGGCAGCGGGAGGCCCCAUUAGCUAAAGUGGUACCUCAGGUUAAGAAAAGUUUCAGGUUAAGAACGGACCUCCAGAACAAAUUAAGUUCGUAACCUGAGGUACCACUGUAUUGGCCUCUACCAUCAUGCAGCCCCUGACAAAUGGAUUAAGCCCUUAGGCUGCGUUUGAAAUUCGCCAGGCACAUUUUGCACCUGGCUAUCGGCCGCUUGUGACCAAGUGAAGAUGCCCAGGUGCCAGGAUAACUCCUGACAUCUCCACCAUCUGGAGGUGCAUUCUUGGGGAUCUUCAGAUCUCGACUGUUUUCACACACUAAUACUACAUCCUGUAGAAUUCUAUCUUAUAUUUUAUCUGCACAAUCAAGAAUGAAUUUCAGGAAACACAAAAGGCGUACUGUAUUGAAAAACACGACUUUCAGGCUGUCUGCCCCCCCCCCCCCCCCCAGUGGCAACUAGGCAGCAUUCCAUUUUUGGCAACUGUGUCCCUGUUUGAAGGAGCCAUUUGGCACCUAGCUUAUACAGUGGUACCUCGGGUUAAGAACUUAAUUCGUUCCGGAGGUCUGUUCUUAACCUGAAACUGUUCUUAACCUGAGGUACCACUUUAGCUAAUGGGGCCUCCUGCUGCCGCCGCGCGAUUUCUGUUCUCAUCCUGAAGCAAAGUUCUUAACCUGAGGUACUAUUUCUGGGUUAGCGGAGUCUGUAACCUGAAGCGUCUGUAACCUGAAGCAUAUGUAACCUGAGGUACCACUGUAUAUCUGAGUUUCUAACACUGCCCAUAGGAAAUAUGGCCUUUGAGAGAGAGAGGAAAUGGCCCACUCCUGAUGCAGAGGGCAUUGGGCAUAGCAGGAGUCCUUGACUUGGCAGAAUGUGUGUCUAUGCUUGUUUCUGGGAAGCUUUGCUUCCAGGGAGUGGUGCUGAAUUUCUCUUUCUGGUAGUGAGAGAUUCCUAGAAGCAGGACCAAUGUCCAACCCAUUUUUCAGGAUCAUUUUGAUUAGAAUAGCAGCAAGGGCAAGACUCAUGUGUGCUUAGAAGUGUAUAAACAGUGCAUGAGCUAGUGUAUGGGUAGGCAAACUAAGGCCCGGGGGCCAGAUCCGGCCCAAUCGCCUUCUAAAUCCGGCCCGUGGAUGGUCCAGGAAUCAGCGUGUCUUUACAUGAGUAGAAUGUGUCCUUUUAUUUAAAAUGCAUCUCUGGGUUGUUUGUGGGGCAUAGGAAUUCAUUCAUAUAUUUUUUUCAAAAUAUAGUCCAGCCCCCCCCACAAGGUCUGAGGGACAGUGGACCGGCCCCCUGCUGAAAAAGUUUGCUGACCCCUGGGUUGGACAUUGACUAGGAAAGCACAGGCUUAAUUCUCUGCUCAAUCUCAAAGCUCGCUGGGUGACUUUGGACCGGCCACUAUUUCUCAGGCAAACAAAGUUAUUAUAUUAUCCUUAUUUGUAAACUAAUUUAUGUUGCCCGGAUUUCCUUGGAUGGAUGGAUGAUGGGAUACAAGUGAAAUAUAGAAAUAUUGCCGUUACGUCUUUAAAAUCCAAAUUGUUGUCUUAAACUAAAUAUCAGCUAAAAGCCCCCUGGCUUUCCCCCAUGGUGGUUGCAAAGAAAAACUUGAUAACUGUAGUAUCCAAAUAUUUGGGCAAGCAAAAAGCAAAACCCAAAUGCACCAUGUCAGCAAAGAACGUUAUUUUUAAGCUGAUCUCAUGACUUGUGACAUCAGGUUACACAGAUCUGUCAGGCUUCUGUCAGCCUCUGCUGAUAAGAAGGAAUUUCUUCGAUAGAGAAACUGCAGCUGGAAUUUGAAGGGAGGGAAGGAAGCAUAAUUCUGAGCAUAUUUGCAGAGAAUUAAGGAUCAGGCUGUGUGGACAGAGUCUCUCAUGUGAAACUUAAAAUCCGCUUUAUUUUAAACCACUCUACAGUGAGAAUGUGUAAGCCUGCUUUGACUACAGUAUACAAUUGAAUUCUGUUCCACAUUUAAUCCUGAAUGAAUGAAUAGCAUUUUACAUAUGGCGUGAUUAGUGUGAAAGAAACGUAGACCGCAUAUUCUCUCUCCCACCUACUUUGGAGUAAGCCCCACUGAACUCAUUGGGACUUGCUUCUGAGUAGGAUAGGAGUGCAACUGUUACAGAUAUUUGUGCCUUGAUUGCCUUAAGCGUAGAUGGCCUGAUCUGCUAUUUAUUGUUGGUUAUUUUAAUCUGUCACCAGAAGGUACCGAGCCAUGGAUGGAGAUCUUCUGAGAAACUGGAAAAUGGAGGAGUCUUCCAUCUUCAUGUUCUACCAGCCUCUGGAGAGAUACCAGGCAAAGGUGGCGCAGCUUCACUUCUCUGCUAGGACUGUGUAAACUUCUGUGCCUUCCUAAGCUAUUACCUUCUCCUCGUGUUUCAUUGCUGCUGUUAUGGUUGCCUUUUUAUGCACGCUUACUUGGUAGUAAGUUCCUUUGGACACAGUGGCACGUAUUUUUUGGGUAAACUUGCAUAAGUUGGAGCUGCGUGAUAACCAAUAAUAAUACCCUCUCGACGGUACCAUAAUCUGCAGUCCCAAGUCGCAGGGCAUCUAGAGAGGCGUUUUCGGUGCCUGCUCCGACACUAUCAAACUCCAUACCUUGGGAGACUUGCCUCAGGUUGGACCACGUGUAAAGCACUUCUGAAAAAUUAGAGCUGGUGAGUGGAGCACCACCAUGUGGAAAGAGAUCUUCCGUGAUUCUGAACACGCAUUGAAAAUACGAACGGACCAAUACAGUUUUAGGCAUGUUUGUUUCGGCAAGCCUAUGUGGCCUAUGUAAAAUGUUGAUACGUGUUUCAGUCUGAUAUUUAGGCAAUUGUUGGUUUUAAUUAUUGUUUUAAAAUAAUUGCUUUUAAUGACAAUACUAUUUUUUAAAACUAUUUUUGUAGGGUUAUUGCACUAAAUAAUAAUAAAUGAAUGGAUUUUAAUAACGAACUAAACAAAAGAAUAACAAAUUGUGGACCAAGGAGUAGUCUGCAGUGUGAUUUUAGUCAUAUCUAUAUAUUAUUAUUCUUAGAAGAAUGAUUAUUCUUCAGAGCUGAGCAGGCCCAGAGUACGUUCACCCAGGAGUUGGAUUCCUGGAUCCUAACAGCAGUCCAUUUCACUCUCCGUACAUCAUUCACCUAGCAAUGGUUAGAGUUUCGGUAUAAGCUCUGAACCAUCACAGCCCCGUUUCCAGAAUGAAAAUGGGUUAUUCAUGCAAAUUGCAUUUUAACUGCUGGCUUUAAAUGUGUUGUGAUGUAUCUUUACUAUCUUCUUUUUAACUAUUUGUGUUUUACAAGUUGAGAUGGGCUAUAGAUAUAUUGGCGUUUCCGUGUGCUGCUCUGGUGCCGGUUCGCCGGAGCAGCUUCGUCACUCUGGCCACGUGACCCGGAAGUGUCUGCGGACAGCGCUGACUCCCGGCCUCUAGAGUGAGAUGAGCGCACAACCCUAGAGUCUGUCAAGACUGGCCCGUAUGGGUAGGGGUACCUUUACCUUUACCUUUUAUAGAUAUAUUAAAUAAUAGUCACCUUCUGUGUUCGAGGAACGGAUAGCUAUAUUGUGGCAGUUCAUAAUGUGGUGAAUCUGCAGGAUAAGGGAAAGAGCUGUUUACUGGAUAGUCAGUGCCAAGCAGGACCGGCCCACCCAUGAGGCAGUGUGGGCAAUGGAUCCGGUCUCCAAAGAGUCCCGCAGCCAUGGUGACAACAAUGGCUGUGGCGCGCUGCUUGAAGUCCUGAUCUGCCUCUACAGCGGCCUUGUUCCUGAUGUAGAUCUUCACUCACCCAUUCUUCCCCAGUUGUGGGAGGAACCGUUUUGUGGCUUGCCUCGGGUACCAAAAUGUCUUGGGCUGGCCUUGAUGGUGAAGAUCUCAAGGUGUUCAUAGAUUAUGUUUGCAUACCAGGAAGUUCUCCAGUGUUGAGUCUUCCUGCAUCUCCGACUCUUAAUAGCAGAAGGCACCCCAAGCAAACGCACUACCAACUAUCAGGACGUAAAAUAAAAUUGCAGUCCCACCCCGAAGUGGUUCAUCAGCCAGAGACUAGGUAAUCAGUGGGCCACCGGCAAUGCUUUCCUUGAGAUGAUGGGCGUCCCCAGUCAUCAGUGAUAUCUGGCGGAUUGCAGAUACAUAUUCUGUAUUUCAGAGGCUUGGCCACCUGUCUCUCUUGUAGAUUUAUAUAGAUUAGAAAUGGGCUCCAUAUACUUAGAGAACAAGAAAUCUGUUAAAUCAGGUAACAGAAACUUUUAACUAAUGGCAUAUCGUUUUCAUGGCAGCUUUUAUCCAGAAAUUUUAGAAUCUGAUUGCUGGGUCUUUGCCUGCCACUAAUUUUGCAAUAAACAAAAAACACUUCAGAAUAUGCAACACAAACAAAUUAUUGAACUACUAUAAAUGUGUGGAAGCUGCGGUUGUAAAACAUAAAUUGUAUGUUACAAUGCCUACUCAGAUAUGUAGAAAGUUGGCCUGUGUUUUGAUCAGGCUGUUAGCUUAUUGUUGAUUUUUUUAUGUUUUAAAUAGCUAUUUUUAACUGUUACUGAUUAUUUAUUUAUUUUUAUACUUGAGCUACUCUGAGCUUUUAAAAAACAAUUGAGUGGUAUAUGAACUUUUCCAAAAUAAAUAACAUGUUAUUUUUGUUUUUGAACUGUAAGAGAUUUAAGGCUGCAUUCCUAAACUCCCUUGCUUAAAAGUGUUAUUUGUUGAAAUGGGUGGGAUUUAUUUUGAUGAAACAUACGUGCGAUGGGUGUUGUUGUCAAAUGUAUGCCCAUCCCUGCGGUCACACUCCUAUAUCUUAGGGUAGUAACUGAAAGAAUUGCAUCACCAAAGAAAUGGAGCGUAUGUACUAGUUAAGAGCUGGUAAAAUCGUCCUAAGAGUUUUGUGAAUGCCUCUCCUAGAACACACUGUAGGAUACCCCAGAGUGAGGAGGGAGAAUACGGAAUGAUUCUGUAACCCGACCUUAAUAGCCAGUUGGUGGUCUAGUAACCAUAUACAGUUGUACCUUGGAAGUCAAACGGAAUCCGUUCCGGAAGUCUGUUCAACUUUCAAAGCGUUUGGAAACCAAAGCGCUGCUUCUGAUUGGCUGCAGGAAGCUCCUGCAGCCAAUCAGAAGCCCCGUCGGACAUUCGGCUUCCAAAAAUAGUUCGCAAAUCGGAACAGUCACUUCCGGGUUUGCUGCGUUCGGGAGCAGAAACAGAAAACUCUACAGGUUUUAUUUUGUAAAAGGCUUUAAGUUCUAUCAAUAAAAGAUGAUAUUUA